AAUCCCAUUUCUUCUCUCGUCUUCUUCGUCACCCUGAACAUAAAACAGAUCUGAAACAAAAAACCAGCUCUCGUUCUCCAUCGCCGCCAUUACCACCGCGGAACAUCAAAUUUCUCCAUUAUCGACACCACCAUCAUCAUUUCCACCACCAUUGACUAUAUCAUGUUUCCCUGAAACCAUCAUCGACAUCACCGCCAUCAUCAUCCAAGAAGAUUUCUGUAAUCCCUGAUAUUUGUCGAUGGUUCUUCUUCUUCUUCUUCUUCGACGUAGAGGGUUUACUGACGCCGUCUCAAACUCAGAUGAAGAUGUGAUGUUAGUAGAUAGUGACGAGAUGAGUUUGAAAUAGAGUUUGUGCUGCAAUUAGGGUAUGGAUUCAAAUGGGUUUCGGUUCAAAUCUGAAUUGCGGUCAAAGGUUGGUUGUGCCAUGGAAUUGUGGUGGUUAGCAAGGAUUGGAGAUUGAAUGAGCAUGAGAUGAAGAUUUAAUGGGUUGCUGCUGUUGGAAUUGGGUUCGUUGCAGCUGGUCAGAUGGAAUUGAAUAUGAAGCUGAUGUUGUUCGAAUCUAAGCUAGCGAACGUGAAAGAGAUAGGUCUGUGAUUGGAGUUACAAUCAGCUGGAAGAUGUCGCUGCUGUGGAAUGGAAGUUGAGCUCACAGAAACCUGUCCCAGGAGUGCAGUCAACAAAACUGAGAUGGAAAAGAGAACAACUGGUUCUGGUGGUUGAAGUUGUGAGAGAUUAAGAUGAGGUAGUGGUAGUGGUAGUUACAGUCAUGAUGAAGCUAAUUUGAAAUGCAGGUGCAGUGGAAGAGAAAGAUAAAAGAAGUUACAAAGAUGAAGUCAACGCUCAGCUCUGAAGCAGGAUUUUAGAUGAAUGCUAGGUUGCAAUUGCAGGAUGAGUCAGUAUUGGUGGUUGACAGUGUCUAGGACUCGGACUGCAGGUUAACGACGCAGAUUGAGGAUUUUGUGUUUGCAACUGCACUUUGCUGCAAUGGGUUUCUGGUUGUGUUGGUGGUCACUGCCAUGGGAAGAUGGUGGAGUUUACUGCAAUAGAAUUGGUGAAUGGCAGUUGGCAUUUUAAGGAGAAGUGGUUGGUGCUGCAGUAUGUAUGAAAUUGCAGGGAAUGAUUGCAGUGAAUGAGCAAGUCAGGACCAACAAGGAUCUGAAUUGAGCUGAAUUGCAGUGGUAACUGGUGCCGGUGGAUGAGGUAUUGCAGGCUAAACUUAAGAGAUGAUAGUCAUGGGUUGCGAGGCGUUGGUGAUUUUCCACAGAUGCAGGUUAGUGGAACUGAGGCUGUUGAAUUCAAAAUACAAGUGAAGCAGAUGGAAAUGGCCUGAAGUUGUGGUUGCAGUUGAGUUUCUUGGGUCCAAUGAAGGUGUGAUUUUGCAGAAAGGCUUUGUGUUGUUGAAGUUGGAAGGAACGCAGGGAGAUGCAAAGGAUGGUGCUGCAAGAAUGAAGGAAGAGAUGAGCUCAUUGAGCUUGUACGAGUCACAGGAACAAGAAGCAGCUAAGAUGGGUACUGUGUAGCUCAAUAUGCAGCUGCAAAUGAAUCUACAGAAACUAUGAGUUCAGGUUCCUACUGGUGACAGUAGUUGGCCUGAAAGUAAGAUGAUACUGCAAUGAAGUAUAGGUUGUUGGUUGAUUGAACUACAGGAGUACUGGAAGUGCUGAAUAGAUGAAUGUUAGGGGUUGUGCAUGACUGAAUUAAAGUGGAUUAAAAGACCAGGAAAAUGGCCUGAGAUAUGGCUGGAAAUGAACCAGAAAACAAGCAGAACUCGGCCGGAAUCGGAGAACGGCGAGUUGAAAUUCUGAGAAGAUAUAGGUGCUCUGUUUCAGUGCUCUGUUUUUUGCUCUGUUUCAGUACUCUGUUUUGCUUGCAAUUAACUCGUAAAACAGGGCAAAACAGAGCAAAUUAAUUCUGUAGAAGAUAGGGACAUAAUUGUCUCUUCAGGUUAAUAAAUAAAAAAUAUUCUGGGUCAAAUAUCCAUUUUGGCUCAAUGAACAGUAUUUUUCUAAUUUUUGGCUAUAUAAACAGUAUCUAAAGCUAAGAAUCCAUUUCACACA